GGAAUUAUCAAGCCUGGUGAAUGCAAAAUCGGAAUUAUGCCUGGUUACAUUCAUAAACCUGGUCGUGUAGGAAUCGUUUCUCGAUCUGGUACCUUGACCUAUGAAGCGGUUUUCCAAACAACUGCUGUUGGCCUUUGACAGUCCACCUGUGUUGGUAUUGGAGGUGAUCAUUUUAACGGUACAAACUUUGUUGAUUGCACUGACAGAUUCCUAGAAGAUCCUCAGACAGAAGGUUAGUAGUUCGUAUUUUUUGGUGGCAUGAUCCUCAGACGGAGCUUGUUUCUAUGAAUUUGCUCUGGAGGUAUAUCUAUGCACUCUGUUUGUUUAUGGUUGCAUGUAUAGGUCCAUGGUUUGCCUUUUACUCACCAAAUCUGUUCGUGAAUGUUGUGUAUCAUAUAAAAUAUCAGGAUACUCUGGGCCUUAAGAGCAAGUGUAUAGAAUUCUCUCUCUCUCUCGCUCUCUCUCUGCCAUUUGCUUGAAAUAUUUAUAUCCAUCAACAAUAAUGUUGGUGGUUGCCCAUUUGUAAAGUAAUGAACCUAGGCUUGAUCUUUUGUGAUUCAGAUUUGUAUGAUGUGCCUCUGCGUGAGUUCUUGAAUACUUACCAUUCAAGUUCAACCCUUAGGACUUUUAUCUUUUCUAAUUGUGGAUGCUCGCCUGACUCUUUUUUAUUGCUUAAAAAUUCCAUUGAGCACAUUUUAUUGAUAUAGUAUUGUAUGUUAGCUAAACUUCAUUGAUUGGAAAAGAAUUAUUUGGAUAUAAGAAAAACAAAUGAAGUAACUCUUGUG